rnacentral:rRNA from 1 species
AUUGAACGCUGGCGGCAGGCCUAACACAUGCAAGUCGAACGAGUGGCGGACGGGUGAGUAAUGUAUGGGAAAAUGCCUGAUGGAGGGGGCUAACUAGUGGAAACGGUAGCUAAUACCGCAUACCAUCAGAUGUGCCCAGAUGGGAUUAGCUUGUUGGUGGGGUAACGGCUCACCAAGGCGACGAUCCCUAGCUGGUCUGAGAGGAUGACCGGCCACACUGGUACGGAGGCACGGCCCAGACUCCUACGGGAGGCAGCAGUGGGGAAUAUUGCGCAAUGGGCGCAAGCCUGAUUCAGCCAUGCCGCGUGUAUGAAGAAGGCCUUCGGAUUUUAAAGUACUUUCAGCGGGGAGGCGUUACCCGCAGAAUAAGCACCGGCUAACUCCGUGCCAACAGCCGCGGUAAUAC